rnacentral:rRNA from 1 species
GUAGUUGGCAAGCGUUGUCCGGAAUUAUUGGGCGUAAAGCGCGCGCAGGUGGUUCUUUAAGUCUGAUGUGAAAGCCCCCGGGCUCAACCGGGGAGGGUCAUUGGAAACUGGGGAACUUGAGUGCAGGAGAGGAAAGUGGAAUUCCACGUGUAGCGGUGAAAUGCGUAGAUAUGUGGAGGAACACCAGUGGCGAAGGCGACUUUCUGGCCUGUAACUGACACUGAGGCGCGAAAGCGUGGGGAGCAAACAGGAUUAGAUACCCUGGUAGUCCACGCCGUAAACGAUGAGUGCUAAGUGUUGGGGGGUUUCCGCCCCUCAGUGCUGCAGCUAACGCAUUAAGCACUCCGCCUGGGGAGUACGGUCGCAAAGACUG